UUUCGCCGCUUAAAUUCAUAUUUUUUUCGGGUGUUCGUUUCGAGUCACAUUGUGAUUGAUUUUGUGACUAGAUCGAACAUUCGCUCGAAGUAUGGAAAAAUCCGCGGGACUU